rnacentral:rRNA from 1 species
ACGCGACCCCAGGUCAAGCGGGGCUACC